rnacentral:rRNA from 1 species
UACGUAGGGGGCGAGCGUUAUCCGGAAUACUGGGCGUAAAGCGCACGCAGGCGGUUCGCCAAGUUUGGAGUGACAGUUGUCGGCUCAACCGACAAAGGACUUCAAAAACUGGUGAACUUGAGGACGAGAGAGGAACAUGGAACUCCAGGUGUAGUAGUGAAAUGCGUAGAUAUCUGGAAGAACACCAAUGGCGAAGGCAAUGUUCUGGCUCGUUUCUGACGCUCAGGUGCGAAAGCCAGGGGAG